AACGGGGGGAAUAAGCGUUAGCCGUCAUUAUUGGGCGUAAAGGGUUCGUAGAUGGUUUUGUUUGAUUUAUAUAUGAAAAAUAAGUAGUUUUUCUUACAUCUUUAUAAUAAAUAACGAUAAAGCUUAGAGUAUGAAAUGGGUUAAUCGUACUCCCAAUGUAAAGGUGAAAUGUUCUGAAAUUGGAGAGGACGUUCAAAAGGCGAAGGCAAUUAACUGGUUCAUUACUGACAUUGAGGAACGAAAGCGUGGGGAUCAAAUCGG
rnacentral:rRNA from 1 species